CCUGGACGGGCUGGCCGUCUCCGUCCAAGCGGUGCAUGGAUGUGGAAAAGGAAUCUGUAAGGGGUAGUAGUUCAGGGCGGUUUGUUCAUCAGCGCGAUGUCACCCGUGGUGUUGUGUCGGGAGAUGCAGUAACUGAACCAGCGAAGAAGACAUAUAUAUUUGUGGACAGCUUCAUCCUGGAGUUCAUUGUUAUUGUCUACAAUGAAUGAACAAUGACCAUUAACAGAUGGGUUGCCAUUCAUCAGUUCAUCCUCAAAGACACCUUUGGAUGUAAAGGCAACUACUUUUUUUAUUGAAAACUAAACUGACUCACAAUAAUCUGAUUCAGCUGUCAAAUGUUUUUAGGUGCAGCAAAUCCAAGCUAAAGAACGAUCUUGCGAAACUUUUUUUUGUAAGAUUUUGAGUUUUCAAACACUUAGUUUCAACCUUUCAGAACUUUAUUUUCAGUUUUGAAUCAAGGAAGGAUAUUAAUCCCAUACUGUCCCAAGUUGUUUGCAUUACAUGCAUCCAGUAAUCCUGUAUGUACUUUAAUUGUGGGGCAUUGAAUUACAAUGUUUGUCUCAUAACAGUAGAACUAAACCGCUGUUUUCUCUUCAGAGAGCAUAAACACUAAGGCAUGGUUACAGUUACUGGUCACAUGUAAUAAAGCUUGAAGACAA